rnacentral:rRNA from 1 species
CAAGUGAAGAAGCGCAUACGGUGGAUGCCUUGGCAGUCAGAGGCGAUGAAAGACGUGGUAGCCUGCGAAAAGCUUCGGGGAGUCGGCAAACAGACUUUGAUCCGGAGAUGUCUGAAUGGGGGAACCCAGCCAUCAUAAGAUGGUUAUCUUGUACUGAAUACAUAGGUGCAAGAGGCGAACCAGGGGAACUGAAACAUCUAAGUACCCUGAGGAAAAGAAAUCAACCGAGAUUCCCUUAGUAGUGGCGAGCGAACGGGGACUAGCCCUUAAGUGGCUUUGAGAUUAGCGGAACGCUCUGGAAAGUGCGGCCAUAGUGGGUGAUAGCCCUGUACGCGAAAAUCUCUUAGUCAUGAAAUCGAGUAGGACGGAGCACGAGAAACUUUGUCUGAAUAUGGGGGGACCAUCCUCCAAGGCUAAAUACUACUGACUGACCGAUAGUGAACUAGUACCGUGAGGGAAAGGCGAAAAGAACCCCGGAGAGGGGAGUGAAAUAGAUCCUGAAACCGUAUGCGUACAAGCAGUGGGAGCAGACUUUGUUCUGUGACUGCGUACCUUUUGUAUAAUGGGUCAGCGACUUAUUUUCAGUGGCGAGCUUAACCGAAUAGGGGAGGCGUAGCGAAAGCGAGUCUUAAUAGGGCGUCUAGUCGCUGGGAAUAGACCCGAAACCGGGCGAUCUAUCCAUGGGCAGGUUGAAGGUUAGGUAACACUGACUGGAGGACCGAACCGACUACCGUUGAAAAGUUAGCGGAUGACCUGUGGAUCGGAGUGAAAGGCUAAUCAAGCUCGGAGAUAGCUGGUUCUCCUCGAAAGCUAUUUAGGUAGCGCCUCAUGUAUCACUGUAGGGGGUAGAGCACUGUUUCGGCUAGGGGGUCAUCCCGACUUACCAAACCGAUGCAAACUCCGAAUACCUACAAGUGCCGAGCAUGGGAGACACACGGCGGGUGCUAACGUCCGUCGUGAAAAGGGAAACAACCCAGACCGUCAGCUAAGGUCCCAAAGUUAUGGUUAAGUGGGAAACGAUGUGGGAAGGCUUAGACAGCUAGGAGGUUGGCUUAGAAGCAGCCACCCUUUAAAGAAAGCGUAAUAGCUCACUAGUCGAGUCGGCCUGCGCGGAAGAUGUAACGGGGCUCAAACCAUACACCGAAGCUACGGGUAUCACGUAAGUGAUGCGGUAGAGGAGCGUUCUGUAAGCCUGUGAAGGUGAGUUGAGAAGCUUGCUGGAGGUAUCAGAAGUGCGAAUGCUGACAUGAGUAACGACAAUGGGUGUGAAAAACACCCACGCCGAAAGACCAAGGUUUCCUGCGCAACGUUAAUCGACGCAGGGUUAGUCGGUCCCUAAGGCGAGGCUGAAAAGCGUAGUCGAUGGAAAACAGGUUAAUAUUCCUGUACUUCUGGUUAUUGCGAUGGAGGGACGGAGAAGGCUAGGCCAGCUUGGCGUUGGUUGUCCAAGUUUAAGGUGGUAGGCUGGAAUCUUAGGUAAAUCCGGGAUUCUAAGGCCGAGAGCUGAUGACGAGUUGCCUUUAGGCGACGAAGUGGUUGAUGCCAUGCUUCCAAGAAAAGCUUCUAAGCUUCAGAUAACCAGGAACCGUACCCCAAACCGACACAGGUGGUUGGGUAGAGAAUACCAAGGCGCUUGAGAGAACUCGGGUGAAGGAACUAGGCAAAAUGGCACCGUAACUUCGGGAGAAGGUGCGCCGGUGAGGGUGAAGCACUUGCUGCGUAAGCCCACGCCGGUCGAAGAUACCAGGCCGCUGCGACUGUUUAUUAAAAACACAGCACUCUGCAAACACGAAAGUGGACGUAUAGGGUGUGACGCCUGCCCGGUGCCGGAAGGUUAAUUGAUGGGGUUAGCUAACGCGAAGCUCUUGAUCGAAGCCCCGGUAAACGGCGGCCGUAACUAUAACGGUCCUAAGGUAGCGAAAUUCCUUGUCGGGUAAGUUCCGACCUGCACGAAUGGCGUAACGAUGGCGGCGCUGUCUCCACCCGAGACUCAGUGAAAUUGAAAUCGCUGUGAAGAUGCAGUGUAUCCGCGGCUAGACGGAAAGACCCCGUGAACCUUUACUAUAGCUUUGCACUGGACUUUGAAUUUGCUUGUGUAGGAUAGGUGGGAGGCUUUGAAGCGUGGACGCCAGUUCGCGUGGAGCCAUCCUUGAAAUACCACCCUGGCAACUUUGAGGUUCUAACUCAGGUCCGUUAUCCGGAUCGAGGACAGUGUAUGGUGGGUAGUUUGACUGGGGCGGUCUCCUCCUAAAGAGUAACGGAGGAGUACGAAGGUGCGCUCAGACCGGUCGGAAAUCGGUCGUAGAGUAUAAAGGCAAAAGCGCGCUUGACUGCGAGACAGACACGUCGAGCAGGUACGAAAGUAGGUCUUAGUGAUCCGGUGGUUCUGUAUGGAAGGGCCAUCGCUCAACGGAUAAAAGGUACUCCGGGGAUAACAGGCUGAUACCGCCCAAGAGUUCAUAUCGACGGCGGUGUUUGGCACCUCGAUGUCGGCUCAUCACAUCCUGGGGCUGAAGCCGGUCCCAAGGGUAUGGCUGUUCGCCAUUUAAAGUGGUACGCGAGCUGGGUUUAGAACGUCGUGAGACAGUUCGGUCCCUAUCUGCCGUGGACGUUUGAGAUUUGAGAGGGGCUGCUCCUAGUACGAGAGGACCGGAGUGGACGAACCUCUGGUGUUCCGGUUGUCACGCCAGUGGCAUUGCCGGGUAGCUAUGUUCGGGAAAGAUAACCGCUGAAAGCAUCUAAGCGGGAAACUUGCCUCAAGAUGAGAUCUCACUGGAACCUUGAGUUCCCUGAAGGGCCGUCGAAGACUACGACGUUGAUAGGUUGGGUGUGUAAGCGCUGUGAGGCGUUGAGCUAACCAAUACUAAUUGCCCGUGAGGCUUGACCA